CGCGAAUGGCUCAUUACAACAGUUAUGGUUCCUUAGAUCGCACUUACUACUUGGAUAACUGUGGUAAUUCUAGAGCUAAUACAUGCGUUGGACUCUGACCCUUGUGGAAAGAGUGCUUUUAUUAGAUCAAAGCCAAUCGGGUCUUCGGGCUCGUACUUUUGGUGACUCUGAAUAACAUUGCUGAUCGCACGGUCUUGUACCGGCGACGUAUCUUUCAAGUGUCUGCCUUAUCAACUGUCGAUGGUAGGUUAUGCGCCUACCAUGGUUGUAACGGGUAACGGGGAAUCAGGGUUCGAUUCCGGAGAGGGAGCCUGAGAAACGGCUACCACAUCCAAGGAAGGCAGCAGGC
rnacentral:rRNA from 1 species